rnacentral:ribozyme from 1 species
AUAUUCUCUCACCAAAAGUAAAAAAAUAUCAAAGAAAAAAAGGGAAGGAGAAACCAACAGCGAAAAACUCAUAGAUGUGCAUUUGGUGGCCGCACACCUACUCUCCUGUUUUGAGGUUUUCUAUUUAUGUGUAUUGUUUUUUCCCGCAGGCACCUUCUCCCUGCUUUUCCUUCUCC